UACGUAGGGUGCGAGCGUUGUCCGGAAUUAUUGGGCGUAAAGGGCUCGUAGGCGGUCUGUCACGUCGGGAGUGAAAACUCGGGGCUCAACCCCGAGCCUGCUUCCGAUACGGGCAGACUAGAGGUAUGCAGGGGAGAAUGGAAUUCCUGGUGUAGCGGUGAAAUGCGCAGAUAUCAGGAGGAACACCAGUGGCGAAGGCGGUUCUCUGGGCAUUACCUGACGCUGAGGAGCGAAAGUGUGGGGAGCGAACAGG
rnacentral:rRNA from 1 species